rnacentral:rRNA from 1 species
UACGUAGGGUGCGAGCGUUGUCCGGAAUUAUUGGGCGUAAAGGGCUCGUAGGCGGUUUGUCGCGUCGGGAGUGAAAACACCGGGCUUAACUCGGUGCUGGCUUUCGAUACGGGCAGACUAGAGGUAUGCAGGGGAGAACGGAAUUCCUGGUGUAGCGGUGAAAUGCGCAGAUAUCAGGAGGAACACCGGUGGCGAAGGCGGUUCUCUGGGCAUGUCCUGACGCUGAGGAGCGAAAGUGUGGGAGCGAACAGGAUUAGAACCUACGAGUCAGACCAAGAUCCAGUCUGCUACC